UACAGAGGGGGCAAGCGUUAUUCGGAAUUAUUGGGCGUAAAGGGCGCGUAGGCGGCUUUGCAAGUGACGGGUGAAAUCCCUCGGCUUAACCGAGGAACUGCCUGUCAAACUGCAUGGUUUGAGACCGGGAGAGGUGAGUGGAAUUCCCAGUGUAGCGGUGAAAUGCGUAGAUAUUGGGAGGAACACCAGUGGCGAAGGCGGCUCACUGGACCGGUACUGACGCUGAUGCGCGAAAGCGUGGGGAGCAAACAGG
rnacentral:rRNA from 1 species